rnacentral:rRNA from 1 species
GGGUUGUGAGGUUAAGCGACUAAGCGUACACGGUGGAUGCCCUGGCAGUCAGAGGCGAUGAAGGACGUGCUAAUCUGCGAAAAGCGUCGGUAAGGUGAUAUGAACCGUUAUAACCGGCGAUGUCCGAAUGGGGAAACCCAGUGCAAUUCGUUGCACUAUCGUUAACUGAAUACAUAGGUUAACGAGGCGAACCGGGGGAACUGAAACAUCUAAGUACCUCGAGGAAAAGA